UGAAUUUGUUGCAAAAUAUGCGGCCUGAAAACCAGAGACUAGCCGACGCUUUUUUUUUAAAGUGUCGGUUAGUUAUUUUU
rnacentral:sRNA from 1 species